rnacentral:rRNA from 1 species
UACGAAGGGGGCUAGCGUUGUUUGGAUUUACUGGGCGUAAAGCGCACGUAGGCGGAUCGUUAAGUCAGGGGUGAAAUCCUGGAGCUCAACUCCAGAACUGCCUUUGAUACUGGCGAUCUUGAGUCCGGAAGAGGUGAGUGGAACUCCUAGUGUAGAGGUGGAAUUCGUAGAUAUUAGGAAGAACACCAGUGGCGAAGGCGGCUCACUGGUCCGGUACUGACGCUGAGACGCGAAAGCGUGGGGAGCAAACAGG